rnacentral:rRNA from 1 species
UGGGGAAUAUUGGACAAUGGGCGAAAGCCUGAUCCAGCCAUGCCGCGUGUGUGAAGAAGGUCUUCGGAUUGUAAAGCACUUUAAGUUGGGAGGAAGGGCAGUAAGUUAAUACCUUGCUGUUUUGACGUUACCAACAGAAUAAGCACCGGCUAACUUCGUGCCAGCAGCCGCGGUAAUACGAAGGGUGCAAGCGUUACUCGGAAUUACUGGGCGUAAAGCGCGCGUAGGUGGUUUGGUAAGAUGGAUGUGAAAUCCCCGGGCUCAACCUGGGAACUGCAUACAUAACUGCCUGACUAGAGUACGGUAGAGGGUGGUGGAAUUUCCUGUGUAGCGGUGAAAUGCGUAGAUAUAGGAAGGAACACCAGUGGCGAAGGCGACCACCUGGACUGAUACUGACACUGAGGUGCGAAAGCGUGGGGAGCAAACA